UACCUGCAGCUCAAGUGGUGACCACUAUUAUUGGGCCUAAAACGUUCGUAGCCGGUUUAUUAAAUGCUUGGGUAAAUCGUGUAGCUUAACUAUACGAAUUCCGGGUAGACUGAUAGACUUGAGACCGGGAGAGCUAGAGGUACUCCUGGGGUGGAGGUGAAAUUCUGUAAUCCUGGGGGGACCACCAGUGGCGAAGGCGCCUAGCUAGAACGGGUCUGACGGUGAGGAACGAAGCCCUGGGGCGCAAACCGGAUUAGAUACCCGGGUAGUCCAGGGUGUAAACGCUGCUUGCUUGAUGUUAGUUGGGCUCCGAGCCCAAUUAGUGUCGGAGAGAAGUUGUUAAGCAAGCUGCCUGGGAAGUACGAUCGCAAGAUUAGAAACUUUAAAGGAAUUGGGACGGGGGAGCACAGCGAACGGGUGGAGCGUGUCGGUUU
rnacentral:rRNA from 1 species